rnacentral:rRNA from 1 species
GAUGAACGCUGGCGGCGUGCUUAACACAUGCAAGUCGAACGAGAAGUGAAGACGGAAACCUUCGGGCGGAAGGCUUUAUUUCGAGUGGCGGACGGGUGAGUAACGCGUGGGUAACCUGCCUCAUACAGGGGGAUAACAGUUGGAAACGACUGUUAACACCGCAUAAGACCACAGCACCGCAUGGUGCGGGGGUAAAAACUCCGGUGGUAUGAGAUGGACCCGCGUUCGAUUAGCCAGUUGGCGGGGUAACGGCCCACCAAAGCGACGAUCGAUAGCCGAUCUGAGAGGAUGACCGGCCACAUUGGGACUGAGACACGGCCCAAACUCCUACGGGAGGCAGCAGUGGGGAAUAUUGCACAAUGGGGGAAACCCUGAUGCAGCGACGCCGCGUGAGUGAAGAAGUAUUUCGGUAUGUAAAGCUCUAUCAGCAGGGAAGAAAAUGACGGUACCUGAGUAAGAAGCCCCGGCUAACUACGUG